UACGUAGGGGGCAAGCGUUGUCCGGAUUUACUGGGCGUAAAGCGCGUGUAGGCGGCCCUGCAAGUCGGAUGUGAAAUCCCACGGCUCAACCGUGGAAGUGCAUUCGAAACUGCAGGGCUAGAGUCCUGGAGAGGAAGGUGGAAUGCUUGGUGUAGAGGUGAAAUUCGUAGAUAUCAAGCGGAACACCGGUGGCGAAGGCGGCCUUCUGGACAGUGACUGACGCUGAGACGCGAAAGCGUGGGGAGCAAACAGG
rnacentral:rRNA from 1 species